rnacentral:rRNA from 1 species
UAACACAUGAAGAAAAAGGGGCGUAGCAAUACGUCAGCGGCAGACGGGUGAGCAACGCGUGGGAACGUACCUUUUGGUUCGGAACAACACAGGGAAACUUGUGCUAAUACCGGAUAAGCCCUUACGGGGAAGGAUUUAUCGCCGAAAGAUCGGCCCGCGUCUGAUUAGCUAGUUGGUGAGGUAAUGGCUCACCAAGGCGACGAUCAGUAGCUGGUCUGAGAGGAUGAUCAGCCACAUUGGGACUGAGACACGGCCCAAACUCCUACGGGAGGCAGCAGUGGGGAAUAUUGGACAAUGGGGGCAACCCUGAUCCAGCCAUGCCGCGUGAGUGAUGAAGGCCCUAGGGUUGUAAAGCUCUUUUGUGUUUGAUGAUAAUGACGGUACCGCAAGAAUAAGCCCCGGCUAACUUCGUGCCAGCAGCCGCGGUAAUACGAAGGGGGCUAGCGUUGCUCGGAAUCACUGGGCGUAAAGGGUGCGUAGGCGGGUCUUUAAGUCAGGGGUGAAAUCCUGGAGCUCAACUCCAGAACUGCCUUUGAUACUGAAGAUCUUGAGUCCGGGAGAGGUGAGUGGAACUGCGAGUGUAGAGGUGAAAUUCGUAGAUAUUCGCAAGAACACCAGUGGCGAAGGCGGCUCACUGGCCCGGUACUGACGCUGAGGCACGAAAGCGUGGGGGAGCAAACAGGAUUAGAUACCUGGUAGUCCACGCCGUAACGAUGAAUGCCAGCCGGUAGGUGGGUUUACCUCACUAGGUGGGCGCAGCUUACGCUUUAGGCAUUCCGGCUGGGGGAGUACGGUCGCAGAUUAAAACUCAAAGGGAUUGGACGGCCCGCACAAAGCGGUGUGGAAACAUGGUGUUAAUUCGGAAGCCACGCGCGGGCGAGACUAUCAGCUGGACAGUCAGGACGGUCCAAGACUGGACUUCUUCUGGAAUCUGGA